rnacentral:rRNA from 1 species
GAUGAACGCUGGCGGCGUGCCUAAUACAUGCCAGUCGAGCGAACAGACGAGGAUCUUGCUCCUCUGACGUUAGCGGCGGACGGGUGAGUAACACGUGGAUAACCUACCUAUAAUACUGGGAUAACUUCGGGACACCGGAGCUAAUACCGGAUAAUAUAUUGAACCGCAUGGUUCAAUAGUGAAAGACGGUUUUGCUGUCACUUAUAGAUGGAUCCGCGCCGCAUUAGCUAGUUGGUAAGGUAACGGCUUACCAAGGCGACGAUGCGUAGCCGACCUGAGAGGGUGAUCGGCCACACUGGAACUGAGACACGGUCCAGACUCCUACGGGAGGCAGCAGUAGGGAAUCUUCCGCAAUGGGGGAAAGCCUGACGGAGCAACGCCGAGUGAGUGAUGAAGGUCUUCGGAUCGUAAAACUCUGUUAUUAGGGAAGAACAAAUGUGUAAGUAACUAUGCACGUCUUGACGGUAACUAAUCAGAAAGCCACGGCUAACUACGUG